rnacentral:rRNA from 1 species
AUUGAACGCCGGCGGUAGGCCUAACACAUCCAAGUUCAGCCAGCGGCGGACGGGUGAGUAAUGUCUGGGAAACUGCCUGAUGACGGGGGCUAACUACUGGACAGGGUAGAUAAUACCGCAUAGCAUCAGCCGUGCUCAGAUUGGGUUCGCUAGUAGGUGGGGUAAUAGCUCACCUAGGCGCCGCUCCGUAGCUGGUCUGAGAGGAUGACCAGCCACACUUUAAGUUGAGCACGGUCCAUGCUCCAACGGGAGGUGGCAGUGGUGAGUAUUGCACGUUGGGUGCAAUCCUGAGGGAGCCGGGACGCGUGUAUGAAGAAGGCCUUCGGGUUGUAAAGUACUUUCAGCGGGGAGGCGUUACCCGCAGAAGGAGCACGGGCUAACUCCGUGCCAGCAGCCGCGGUAAUAC